rnacentral:lncRNA from 1 species
UUGUUUGUGUUCACGUCACAAGUUACAACAUGUCGUAUUUGUGCUUUUUAGGUACAUUUUAUAAAGAAAGAAAGGACACCACUCAAAAGUUUUGAGGUGAAAAUACUCCAGUAUCAAGCAGAUGUUUAGAUAGUUUCGGGUAUCACGGAAUGAGUGUCAAGUUGCAAAUAGGAUUGUUCAAAAAAAGUGCAAGUAGGAAGAAUGACUUAAUCCUUCACAAGUUUAAAGUAUGUCAAAGAGACUUUUUUUUAGAUGGGAUGUCACGAGACUUAAAAACAACACAUAAUUAGUUCAAGUUUUGAAAGAGUUGUGUUACUUCUCUCAAGCCAAAAUACCAUGUAAAAGCUGAUAAAGCUAAUUCACACAGUAUCUUGUCCGCACCUUUCCUCUUAAUUUAGCUAAGUCUAGGAAAUCACGCUUUGUCAAGCAUCAGCACUUUGGUGAACUCUGCACUUACUGAGGCUCAGUGUCUAUUGGAAAAAUUACUAUGAAAAUUUAAACCACACAAGGUUUAUACGAUUGAAAUAAGAUUAUCAUUUAAUCAUAUUUUUUUCUCUCGUUUUCUUGGCUGCCAAAUGGAGCUUGACAACAUAUGGAAUAAAUCUCAUGUGCAAUCAAACCAGAAAUUGAAAUUUCUAUCUGUUUGUUUAAAAAGACUUAAAAUUAGUAGGAUAGAAUCUGAAGAAAUUGUAAUUAUUAUAUAGCUAGAGAGAAUCUAUAAUAUUGUUAAAUCAGACGUCAUGAAUUAACAUGUACUUUAUCAAGGAAAAGUUAACGUCAUGAAAAUAUUUUUGUCACAGUCUUAGUAUACUGGACCUGAGAGAUAUCUUUGCACCAGUUUGAGGGGAAAAGUGUUAGAUAUUAACUUAUUUGUCAUCUUUCAUUAUUGAGGACUUGUAUGUAAUUAAUUAUUUAUGAUGAUUAAUAUAAAAGGGAAGAGGUUUUAAACCUCAGCCUUAAUAUUCUGCUUUUCCGAAACACAAAUUACAUAUUUCUUUGUGGCGUAUAUUUACGUUCUCAGUUCACUAGUAUCAUGAUGAGGUUAUUGAGUUUGUGAGUUCUGUUUCUUCAUUAGCAGAAACAAAUUAAAAUACAAAGAACAAAUAUACUUGUUGUAUCGUUUAUCGUAUAGUGAUUAUCCUGAUUUUUUUUUUUUUUUUUUUUGCAGAACUUGCCUUGUUUCGUGUUCACGUCACAAGUCACAAAAAAUUGUAUUUGUGCUUUUUACGUACUUUUAUAAAGAAAGUAAGGACACCACUCAAAAGUUUUGAGGUGAAAAUACUCCAGUAUCAAGUACAUGUUUGGAUAGUUUCGGGUGUCACGGAAUGAGUGUCAAGUUGCAAAUAGGAUUGUUCAAAAAAACUGCAAGUAGGAUGAAGGACUUAGUAUUCACAAGUUUAAAGUACGUCAAAGAGACUUUUUUUUAGAUGGGAUGUCACGAGACUAAAAACAACACAUAAUGAGUUUAAUUUCUGAAAGAGUUGUGUUACUUCUCUCAAGCCAAAAUACCAUGUAAAAGCUGAAUAAAUACUAAGGCUCCGUUUGGUAGUGCUUAAAAGCCAAGUUUUUUUAAGCUUGCUACAAAAAAGGCUAAAAUUUUGAUUUUUUUGCUUUUAGGGUUAUAGUUUACCUAAAACUAAGCAAAAAGCCAAAACAGAAAAGCAAAAAAGCCAACUCUGAUUGGCUUUUUUUCUUAUUUUAAGCCAAAAAGCCAGAAAAAAAGCUGGUGCCAAACGGGCCAUAAUUCACACGGUAUCUUGUGCACGCAUUUCCUCUUAAUUUAGCCGAGUCUAGGAAAUCACGCUUUCUCAAACAUCAACAUUUUGGUGAACUCCGUGCUUAUUGAGGCUCAGUGUCUAUUGGAAAAAUUACUAUGAAAAUUUAAACCACCAAGGUUUAUGCGAUUGAAAUAAGAUUAUCAUUUAGUCAUAUUUUUUCCUCUCUUUUUCUUGACUGCAAAUGGAGUUUGACAGCAUAUGGAAUAAAUCUCAUGUACAAUCAAACCAGAAAGUUGAACUUUCUAUCUGUUUGUGUAAAAAGACUUAAAAUUAGUAGGAUAGAAUAUGAAGAAAUUGUAAUUACUAUAGAGCUAGAAAGAGGCUGCAAUAUUGUCAAAUUAGACGGCCAUGGUGAUGCAUAUAUAUUAUAGAAUCAAACAUAGAAAUCAAAAGAGAGACCUUAAAAUGACCACCCCAUCUCCGCUUUCUUUCGUUUUCAUUGUGGUUAGGAAAUAUUUAUUAGGAUAGGUGCUUUCAUCAAUAGUAUACUACCUAGAGCAAUUUGUAUAAAAGAAAAUAAGUUACAAGUAGGACAAAGUUGCGAAAGUGACAUAUAGUUUCUAACUACAAUUAUUGCUAGGAAACAAAAACUACCGUGUAUCGCCCACUAGUAAAAUAGGGUAUUACUUCAUAGUGCACAUUUGAAAUUCUAUGAGGCUUCUGUAAAUUUGUCAUUGUCUUGGACAUACCUUCUUGGUAGUUUUCAAGGCUCUGUGUAACAUUGUUUGGGGGGUAAUCUUCAUUACUUGACGCAAUAACAAAACAAUUGUGCUGCUAAAUCGAGUGUGAUGUUGUAGAGGCAAAAAUUUCGUGUCAUAACCCAAGAAGUAUGUGAAUUGUUAUGGAUAAAGAUAAUCUUGAUAAAGCUGAGAUUAGCACUAACGGGGUCUAUGAGAUUGUAUUGUGAUAACAAAGAUGUCAUUAAUACUGCACACAAUCCAGUUCCUCAUGACAGAACUAACAUGUCGAGAUUGACAAGCACCUUAUCAAGGAAAAGUUAAUAGAGGGUCUGAUUUGUACUCCAUUUGUGAAGACUGGAGAUCAACUAGCUGAUAUUCUAAUUAAAGAAAUAGCUAGUAAACCAUUUUGUCACAUUCUCAGCAUACAGGGUAUAAGAGAUAUCUUUGCACCAGUUUGAGGGGAAAAGUGUUAGAUAUUAACUUAUUUGUCAUCUUUUAUUGUUAAGGGACUUUUUCCUAUACCCUGUAUGCUGAGAAUUUACCUUGUUUGUGUUCACGUCACAAGUUACAACAUGUCGUAUUUGUGCUUUUUAGGUACAUUUUAUAAAGAAAGAAAGGAC